rnacentral:rRNA from 1 species
GACGAACGCUGGCGGCGUGCUUAACACAUGCAAGUCGAGCGGUAAGGCCCUUUCGGGGGUACACGAGCGGCGAACGGGUGAGUAACACGUGGGUGACCUGCCCUUAGCUCUGGGAUAAGCCUGGGAAACUGGGUCUAAUACCGGAUAUGACUCCAUAACGCAUGUUGUGGGGUGGAAAGCCUUGUGCGGCUAGGGAUGGGCCCGCGGCCUAUCAGCUUGUUGGUGGGGUGAUGGCCACCAAGGCGACGACGGGUAGCCGGCCUGAGAGGGCGACCGGCCACACUGGGACUGAGACACGGCCCAGACUCCUACGGGAGGCAGCAGUGGGGAAUCUUGCGCAAUGGGCGAAAGCCUGACGCAGCGACGCC